AUAAUUAGUUACACUAGAUAAUUUAAAAGAUCAGGCAAGAGAAACACUACCUGCGACGUCAACUAGAAGGGACUACUAUCCAGGCGCAAGUAACGAGGAUCGGCAUCCAGCGACACUGUUGAUCCAGAUGAGCACUCUAGAGUCAGUGACGCAGGUAGCAAGGAUCAACACCCGGCAUUUCGUUGAUCCAGAUCGAGCUCUAGAGUUAGUGGUGAUCCUCCUUGAAUUGUGGAGGACAUACAUUUCUUUUGUUUUAGUAGUUUAGUUUUUGGAUGUUGUGGGGUCUGUCCCAACAUCCCUAUAUACUGAGUUUAGAGGCUUUGUAGAUCUAGUACUUCAGUUUAGCUAUUGUUUCUUGUUGAGACUUGAGUGCCAUCAUAACCAGAUAUUAUUUGAAGUAUUUUCAUUUAAACA